AUGGUGUCGAGGUAACGGAAGAGCUCCCGAAAAAAAAUGCUAAAAAAUAAAAAAUGCGCAAAAAUAAAAAAAUAGAAUGAAACGGAUGACAAUGGUGUUGAGGUAACGGAAGAGCUCCAUGUCGUUUUUCCUCAGGUUA
rnacentral:sRNA from 12 species